GACGAACGCUGGCGGCGUGCCUAAUACAUGAAAGUAGAACGCAGUUGCGAACGGGUGAGUAAAGCGUAGGUAACUGCCUGGUAGCGGGGGGUAACUAUUGGAAACGCUAGCUAAUACCGCAUACUACUAGAUGGACCUGAGUUGUAUUAGCUAGUGGGUGGGGUAACGGCGCACAAAGGCAACGAGACAUAGCCGACCUGAGAGGGUGAGCGGCCACACUGGGACUGAGACACGUGCCAGACUCCUACGGGAGGCAGCAGUGGGUAAUAUUUCACAAUGGGCGCAAGCCUGAUGCAGCCAUGCCGCGUGUGUGAAGAAGGCCUUCGGGUUGUAAAGCACUUUCAGCGGGGAGCGUUACCCGCAGAAGAAGCACCGGCUAACUCCGUGCCAGCAGCCGCGGUAAUUC
rnacentral:rRNA from 1 species